ensembl:lncRNA
UCCUCUCUGGGCUUCAGUUUCCUCAUCCAAAAAAUGAGAAAAAAGCCAGGCAUGGUGGUACAUGUCUGUAAUCCCAGCACUCUGGGAAACAGGCAGAAGGAUUGUAAAUUUGAGUCCUGCAAAUGAUUUAGCAAGAUGCUGUCUCAAAAAAAUAAAAAAGGACUGGGGAGUUAGCUCAACUCAAAGACCUUGGGUUCAAUCUCAAGUACUGAGGGGUUGGGGAGCCUGUGGAACAGAGAAAGCAUCCUUUAACUGAUAGGGAAAAGUUUUAGAUAACUUAAUAGAUUGAAUAUUAAGGUAGUUGUAGAAGCAAAAUAGUAAGGUGUUCUUUUAAGAUUUGCUCCUCGCCUCCAACUCCUUGUUUAAGAUGAAGGUUAUCUGACUCUUUAACCAGUAACUUCAUUAACCUAACAAAGUUUCAAUGCCAGGGUGAAUUUACAAUGUAUAUGGCCUAUCUAGUGCCUGUGACUUGUAAAUAGGAACUGGAAUUGUAUUUACACAUCAAAGACCACUAGGGAUGAGAUAAUGGCUAAAAAGGGAAACCCUGAACAAAGGGGGCAGGGAUACUAACCAGACCUGUUUCUGGCAUUCCCCCUCACUCUCCAGAAGAAAUUUUAUUAUUUUAUCCGAAUUCUGUGUCUCCGUGUUAUUUCUUUCCGAGAUUUCUGGAACAUAACAAGAGCUAGCGUUAACUCCGCUCCAAUUCCCUGACUCAAGCCAUCCGGCCUUGCCUCCAACAUGGUUUUGGACCAGUCUUGCUUGUCUUCAAACCUUUUUUCCCAUCUGGACAAGGAUUACAUGGGUCCCCUCGCUAGAAACAUCAAACCUAAUCGGGGAGGAUCCGAUCAGGCUCGAGGAGAGCGUGCAGCGAUCCGUAAAAUGCCAGGAAAAACAUAUGACAAUAUUUGCUCUUCUUCCGCCAAGAUUAAACCUUCCACGAAGACUUUUCUCAGCGGCCCUCCGUAGGGGCGUGGCCAGAAUGUCAGAAGCCACGCCCCAAGAGAAUGGAGCCGG